rnacentral:rRNA from 1 species
AGUGAACGCUGGCGGCGUGCCUAAUACAUGCAAGUCGAACGGAGAUUCAGUAGCUUGCUAUUUAAUCUUAGUGGCGCACGGGUGAGUAAUAUAUAGCUAACUUGCCCAUUACUAAGGGACAACAGUUGGAAACGACUGCUAAUACCUUAUACUCCGUAUCUAUAUAAGUAGAUACGGGAAAGUUUUUCGGUAAUGGAUAGGGCUAUAUCGUAUCAGCUAGUUGGUAAGGUAAUGGCUUACCAAGGCUAUGACGCGUAACUGGUCUGAGAGGAUGAGCAGUCACACUGGAACUGAGACACGGUCCAGACUCCUACGGGAGGCAGCAGUAGGGAAUAUUGCUCAAUGGGGGAAACCCUGAAGCAGCAACGCCGCGUGGAGGAUGACACUUUUCGGAGCGUAAACUCCUUUUCUUGGGAAAGAAUUAUGACGGUACCCAAGGAAUAAGCACCGGCUAACUCCGUG